rnacentral:lncRNA from 1 species
AUGAAUCAGGAAGAAAUCGGUGCCAAAGUCCGGAGGCCUGAACCUCUCACUGCGCCGCAGCUACACAUUAACACGCUCGGCACACGGGCCGAGCGCUGCCAGCGUUUUACAGCACCUCCAAACACACCCUGCGGAUUUGGGCGCCGCUCUGUCAACAGCGCCGUCGCCAGACAUCACCUGGACCCUCCAGCCAAUCGAAGAGAGGCACCGAGGCCGCGCACGAGCCCCCGAGUCUAUGGACGGGCAGGAAACCGGGCGCUGAGCAGGCGGAGGGAUGCUGGUGCUGCACCACUGCUGUGGAGCCGCCUGGAUGAACAGCACGUGUGACACCACGCUGACCUACCUGAUGGUGAGCGUGACCUCUGACCUGGUGGAUAAACUCCAAGAAGCCAACGCUGGCUGAAUCCGCAAACGCGUCAGCUAGGCUGCAGCCGGACGUCCUCUCAGGAGCGCGGAUCUCACACUGUCCGGCUCAUCCGGAGCGGCGGGACGGACUGUAUUUUAUUGUGAUCUGGGAAAAACCGAGGCGAGGAUGCUGGCAGCUGUGAUGUGUGUUGGGAGGAAUGCGGCAGUGUUAUCGCUCACUGAGUUAUGCAAGAACGAUUUGGUGGAAACCUUUGCCUGGUACAGCGUUAGGCCUCAGCCUCACACACACACACACACACACACACACACACACACACACACACACACACACACACACACACACACACACACACACACACACACACACACACACACACACACACACACACACACACACACAGAUCCUGGCCUCAGGACUUUCUAAUUACCCUCAGUGAAUGGGAGGCAGUCGGACACACACAGGGUUAUCACACACCCCAGCACCGCUCCUCAUAUUUCUUCCAAUUAUCCUAUUUUUAGCUUUCAUCUAGGUUCUUGUUUUGCCUUCAGAGGGCACGAGGUGCAUGGGAGGCUCGGUGGGCAGAAGACUCAUUUAGACGUCACGUUUUUAGCCGGUGCCAAAAUCUAGACUUUGCUUUAGAGUCUUUGCUUCUCUUGUGUGUGUCAGAAACCAGAGCUCAGCACGAAUCAUUCAUCAGCAAAACAUUAGAGUCUAAAGUGGAAAACUGUCAGACAUCUGGAAAGAAAGUACGAAAAUAAAAUAAAUUACACAGUCGACUUCUCCGUUGCA